UACGGAGGAUGCGAGCGUUAUCCGGAUUUACUGGGCGUAAAGGGUGCGUAGGUGGUUUCUUAAGUCAGAGGUGAAAGGCUACGGCUCAACCGUAGUAAGCCUUUGAAACUGGGAAACUUGAGUGCAGGAGAGGAGAGUGGAAUUCCUAGUGUAGCGGUGAAAUGCGUAGAUAUUAGGAGGAACACCAGUUGCGAAGGCGGCUCUCUGGACUGUAACUGACACUGAGGCACGAAAGCGUGGGGAGCAAACAGG
rnacentral:rRNA from 1 species